CGAACGCUGGCGGCGUGCCUAAUACAUGCAAGUCGAGCGGACAGAAGGGAGCUUGCUCCCGGAUGUUAGCGGCGGACGGGUGAGUAACACGUGGGUAACCUGCCUGUAAGACUGGGAUAACUCCGGGAAACCGGAGCUAAUACCGGAUAGUUCCUUGAACCGCAUGGUUCAAGGAUGAAAGACGGUUUCGGCUGUCACUUACAGAUGGACCCGCGGCGCAUUAGCUAGUUGGUGAGGUAACGGCUCACCAAGGCGACGAUGCGUAGCCGACCUGAGAGGGUGAUCGGCCACACUGGGACUGAGACACGGCCCAGACUCCUACGGGAGGCAGCAGUAGGGAAUCUUCCGCAAUGGACGAAAGUCUGACGGAGCAACGCCGCGUGAGUGAUGAAGGUUUUCGGAUCGUAAAGCUCUGUUGUUAGGGAAGAACAAGUGCAAGAGUAACUGCUUGCACCUUGACGGUACCUAACCAGAAAGCCACGGCUAACUAC
rnacentral:rRNA from 1 species